rnacentral:rRNA from 1 species
CCUACGGGUGGCAGCAGUGGGGAAUAUUGCACAAUGGGGGGAACCCUGAUGCAGCAACGCCGCGUGAGUGAAGAAGUUUUUCGGAUUGUAAAGCUCUGUUAGCAGGGAAGAGGAUGGAGGGUACCGGCUGAGGAAGCCACGGCUAACUACGUGCCAGCAGCCGGGGUAAUACGUAGGGGGCAGGCGUAUUUCGGAAUAACUGGGGGUAAAGGAUGGGUAGGCGGGUAAACAAGUUAGAUGUUAAAUAUAUAGGCUUAACCUGGAGAAUGCAUAUAAAACUGUUUAACUAGAGUGCAGGAGAGGUAAGUGGAAUUCCUAGUGUAGCGGUGAAAUGCGUAGAGAUUAGGAAGAACACCAGUGGCGAAGGCGACUUACUGGACUGUAACUGACGCUGAGGCAUGAGAGCGUGGGGAGCAAACAGGAUUAGAUACCCCAGUAGUC